GGCUGGUCCAGGGUGUGCCGUGGUGUUUACAACUAAUCGAUCACAGCAAGUUACAGAUUUAUUUGUUCCUUCUCCACUCCCACUGCUUCACUUGACUGGACUUAA
ensembl:Y_RNA Y_RNA Y RNA